rnacentral:ncRNA from 1 species
UUAAAUUCGAGGAAGAGGAAAAGUAGAAGUGUGGCGGCUUACCCAGCGAGCCGGCGAGGGUGGGAGGCCGGUUAAGCCCUGCACUUUGAAGUUCUCCUCGGAGAAGCAGGCUGAAUGUGGGUGAGCAUACCCACUAGUAGGUUUAGCCGGAGCUCCCGCCGUUAAAAGGGAGGGGGUAUCGGAAAAGGGGAAGCCCACUUUUCCCGUACCCUAUAAAGAGGUGGGCCCUUGAACUUUAAGGGUCAACUAGGGUGGUACCGCGGGUAGAAGCUCCCCGUCCCUGGG